GAGGCAGUUAGCAACGGCUUCCAGGAAGGCUGCUCUCGUGUAUCCUCGCCUAUAGCUCCUCGGUGAUCCCUUUUCGUCUUGCUCCUUGGUCUAUCGGGGUAGAAAUAAGGGCUUUGAGACGGCCUUCACAAGGGAGGGACAGAACAACUUCUGGUUCAGCCGAGGACCGGGGAGCUAUCAAAUAAGAGACAUGAGAUGCAGCCAUUGU